rnacentral:rRNA from 1 species
GGGGGGGGGGGGGGGGGUGGGGGGGACAGGGGCGGCGGGCGGACGGGCGAGGGGCUGGCGGCUGUGGCGUUAGGGGCGGGCGGGGGAGUGCCGCGUGGCUCACCUCCCUGUAGUACUGGUAUGCCUUCGGGCCCCCACCGCUACCACCGUGUAAUAUAUUGAGCCGCGUGGGUCCAUCGUGCAAUCCGUUGGUCCUUUCCGUUCUGACAUACGGCGCGCCUCAUUAUCUAGUGUUGACGGUAACGGCGUACCAAGGCAACGAUUGGUAGCCGACCUGAGAGGGUGAUAGGCAACACCGGAACUGAGACACGGUCCAGACUCCUACGGGAGGCAGCAGUAGGGAAUCUUCCGCAAUGGGCGAAAGCCUGACGGAGCAACGCCGCGUGAGUGAUGAAGGUCUUCGGAUCGGAAAACUCUGUUAUUAGGGAAGAACAAAUGUGUAAGUAACUAUGCACGUCUUGACGGUACCUAAUCAGAAAGCCACGGCUAACUACGUG